rnacentral:rRNA from 1 species
UACGGAGGAUGCAAGCGUUAUCCGGAAUGAUUGGGCGUAAAGCGUCCGCAGGUGGCAAUGUAAGUCUGCUGUUAAAGAGUCUAGCUCAACUAGAUACAAGCAGUGGAAACUACAUAGCUAGAGUACGUUCGGGGCAGAGGGAAUUCCUGGUGUAGCGGUGAAAUGCGUAGAGAUCAGGAAGAACACCGGUGGCGAAAGCGCUCUGCUAGGCCGCAACUGACACUCAUGGACGAAAGCUAGGGGAGCGAAUGGG